rnacentral:misc_RNA from 1 species
GAAACGAAUGGCAUAUUGCACAGUAUAGAUUCAAGAAGCAGCUCAGCAGUGCUCUGUAAAUGUUAUAUAUGUAAUUACAGUGCUCUGUAAAUGUUAUAUAUGUAAUUACAGGUUAGUUUUUUCAGGAAUUGACAAAGUGUUCUUCUGUUGAAUUGAAUGUUAUGAAGGAGCUAAAGAGUGGUAUAUUGCACUGUAAAUUAGAUCCAAGAGACAGCUCAACAGUGCUUUGAAAAAGUUUUCAAAUUUUUUUUUAUCAAAAUAAGUCUACACAAUAUGUAGUCAGACAUAUGAUUGAAAUUAGUUGAUGGCAUUUUAUUUUAGUGGACUGAAUGUUGGUUUUUUUUCUAAUGUCAGAACUACUGCUAUGAUACAUUUUGACAUUCCCCAACCUGAGGUUCAAUGUUUAACUCAUAAAUACAUGUACAUGUAUGUGAAUUACCAGUAUUUGGUUGCAUCGAUCUAUUCUGAUUUUUAUAAGAAAUUGUUGAGUUGUGUAAUUAUAGUGUAUCUCUUAUUUAAGUAUUAUUAUCAUUGUGUUAAUUAGUAUUAUUUAUUAUUUAUAGCAUUAAGUGUUUUAAGUAUUGAAUAUUAAAUAAAUAUUUUAUAUAAGUAUU